AACGAACGCUGGCGGCAUGCCUAACACAUGCAAGUCGAACGAUUGCCCUCGGGUGAUAGUGGCGCACGGGUGCGUAACGCGUGGGGAUCUGCCCAUAGGUUCGGAAUAACAGUUGGAAACGGCUGAUAAUACCGGAAGAUAUCGCGAGAUCAAAGAGUUAUCGCAUGAGGAUGAGGCCGCGUUGGAUUAGGUAGGUGGUGGGGUAAAGGCCUACCAAGCUGACGAUCCAUAGCUGGUAAGAGAGGAUGAUCCGCCACACUGGAACUGAGACACGGCCCGGACACCUACGAGAGUGAGCGGUGGGGAAUAUUGGACAAUGGGCGCAAGCCUAAUCCAGCUAUGCCGCGUGAAGGAUGUAUGCCGGAAGGUAGUAGAGCUCUGUUACCCGGGAAGUGAAUGGCCGGUCCGGAAGGAUAAGGCCCGGCUAACUCCGGU
rnacentral:rRNA from 1 species